rnacentral:lncRNA from 1 species
ACCAAAGCAAAUGUCCCUAUCCUCUGGUGUACGAUUUUUCUGACUGUCUCAACCUAUGCUCAGAGCCAACAGUUCAGGAGUUACUAUGUAUAUAUAUAUAAACUGGGGCUCAGAGUCACAGGAUAGUUUGUUCUUUGUACCUUGACUAGCUGUGGUUUUCAGUAAUAGUCUCCAUCCAUUUCAAAGAGAACCUUUUUUGAUGGGUAAGGGUAUCUUAUCUGUGAACAUUAAGUUAAAUAUUUAUAAUAGAGUUCGGAGUUACACUUGUUUAGUGAAAUAGGGGCAGGGCAUUCUCUAAGAACCAUGACCACAUGUGCCUCCAUGCGUCCAGUACCAGACGUGGCUUUCUGCUCCUGAGAAAUUCGAUAAUAACUUCCUAUGGUUGUCUUUAUUGUGGGUAUCAUAAUUGUAUGUUUCUAUCAUUUAAAAAUAGUAUUCGAACUGGAGUAUUGAUCGCUUAUAUGUGCUAGUUUGCUCAGCUGUCCACUAGAGGCAUGCUGAGCUAAGGAAAGAUUUUCCUAUAGUCCAAGUAAAUCUGAAAAUUUACUCUUUGGUCUCUAGCUUAAAUAGAUAAAACUUACUGGGCCCACAUAUCAUGGAACGUUCUAACUAGGGGAAAUUUGGGGAACUGUGAAGAAAGUUGGAACUAAACUGAAAUUUACAGGCGAAUGUACUUUGAAUAAUUUCCAUGUUUAAUUUUUUUCCACAAAAAUAUUUUUCCUCUCUUUAUAAGGACUUCCUCCAAAACAUCGAGGGAAGUCUAAUGACUUCAAAACUAUAUGAUGAGUGGAUUCGUGUACCCGAAAAGGUCAAUGAUGAAGAGAAAUUAGCCGCAGUGCAGAGUCUUUUAGAUAAAAUGCCACCUGAAAAUGCGGCUCUUCUGAGGCAACUUUUUUGUAUAUUAUAUGAAAUUAAAAGUAACUGUUCUGUUAAUGAAAUGUCUUCUUACCACCUAUCUGUUGGGUUAGCCCCAUGUCUCUUAUUCGUGCCCAGCUUCUGCAAUAAUGGAGUGACAAAUGAUAUUGGCAAAAAGAUUUCUCUAGUAGAAUUUAUGAUCGAAAAUUCUACAAAAGUUUUUGGAGAAGACCUGGCUGCAGUGGGGCUUGGAACAUCACUAUAUCAUCCUCCUGGAGGAAAGUCCUCAUGUUCCCAGAAUAAUGCAACAAAUAUUGGAAACAUUAAGGAAACCGAACAUGGACUUAGCAGCUGCCCCAUUGGGAGAACAUGCACUCCUGGCUAUAAUACACUGCCGAAAAGUCCAGCUGCUUCUCUUCCCUAUGAAGGCCUUAUAGAUUCACAAAAACACGAAGGCAUUGUAUAUACUAACCCAACGGUAAUAUCUAUUAAUCCACCACAAGCAAAACAGAAAUGUUUGUUUGGGAAAUCUCUUUCGGGUCUUUUAGAAGACAAAACGUUGCUUAAUCCAAAACUUGUGAGUAUCAGUUUGGGUUUCUACAGCACCUUCAUUCUAAGGAAUUAUUUAAUCAAACAGAUUAAUGUUUAGAUAACCUAUACAUGAAGG